rnacentral:rRNA from 1 species
GUUAUAUGGUCAAGUGAAGAAGCGCAUACGGUGGAUGCCUUGGCAGUCAGAGGCGAUGAAAGACGUGGUAGCCUGCGAAAAGCUUCGGGGAGUCGGCAAACAGACUUUGAUCCGGAGAUCUCUGAAUGGGGGAACCCACCUAGGAUAACCUAGGUAUCUUGUACUGAAUCCAUAGGUGCAAGAGGCGAACCAGGGGAACUGAAACAUCUAAGUACCCUGAGGAAAAGAAAUCAACCGAGAUUCCCUUAGUAGUGGCGAGCGAACGGGGAUUAGCCCUUAAGCUUCAUUGAUUUUAGCGGAACGCUCUGGAAAGUGCGGCCAUAGUGGGUGAUAGCCCCGUACGCGAAAGGAUCUUUGAAGUGAAAUCGAGUAGGACGGAGCACGAGAAACUUUGUCUGAACAUGGGGGACCAUCCUCCAAGGCUAAAUACUACUGACUGACCGAUAGUGAACCAGUACCGUGAGGGAAAGGCGAAAAGAACCCCGGAGAGGGGAGUGAAAUAGAACCUGAAACCGUAUGCGUACAAGCAGUGGGAGCCUACUUGUUAGGUGACUGCGUACCUUUUGUAUAAUGGGUCAGCGACUUAUAUUCAGUGGCAAGCUUAACCGUAUAGGGUAGGCGUAGCGAAAGCGAGUCUUAAUAGGGCGUUUAGUCGCUGGGUAUAGACCCGAAACCGGGCGAUCUAUCCAUGAGCAGGUUGAAGGUUAGGUAACACUGACUGGAGGACCGAACCCACUCCCGUUGAAAAGGUAGGGGAUGACUUGUGGAUCGGAGUGAAAGGCUAAUCAAGCUCGGAGAUAGCUGGUUCUCCUCGAAAGCUAUUUAGGUAGCGCCUCAUGUAUCACUCUGGGGGGUAGAGCACUGUUUCGGCUAGGGGGUCAUCCCGACUUACCAAACCGAUGCAAACUCCGAAUACCCAGAAGUGCCGAGCAUGGGAGACACACGGCGGGUGCUAACGUCCGUCGUGAAAAGGGAAACAACCCAGACCGCCAGCUAAGGUCCCAAAGUUGUGGUUAAGUGGUAAACGAUGUGGGAAGGCUUAGACAGCUAGGAGGUUGGCUUAGAAGCAGCCACCCUUUAAAGAAAGCGUAAUAGCUCACUAGUCGAGUCGGCCUGCGCGGAAGAUGUAACGGGGCUCAAACCACACACCGAAGCUGCGGGUGUCACGUAAGUGACGCGGUAGAGAGCGUUCUGUAAGCCUGUGAAGGUGAGUUGAGAAGCUUGCUGGAGGUAUCAGAAGUGCGAAUGCUGACAUGAGUAACGACAAUGGGUGUGAAAAACACCCACGCCGAAAAGACCAAGGGUUCCUGCGCAACGUUAAUCGACGCAGGGUUAGUCGGUUCCUAAGGCGAGGCUGAAAAGCGUAGUCGAUGGGAAACAGGUUAAUAUUCCUGUACUUCUGGUUACUGCGAUGGAGGGACGGAGAAGGCUAGGCCAGCUUGGCGUUGGUUGUCCAAGUUUAAGGUGGUAGGCUGAAAUCUUAGGUAAAUCCGGGGUUUCAAGGCCGAGAGCUGAUGACGAGUCGUCUUUUAGAUGACGAAGUGGUUGAUGCCAUGCUUCCAAGAAAAGCUUCUAAGCUUCAGGUAACCAGGAACCGUACCCCAAACCGACACAGGUGGUCGGGUAGAGAAUACCAAGGCGCUUGAGAGAACUCGGGUGAAGGAACUAGGCAAAAUGGCACCGUAACUUCGGGAGAAGGUGCGCCGGCUAGGGUGAAGGAUUUACUCCGUAAGCUCUGGCUGGUCGAAGAUACCAGGCCGCUGCGACUGUUUAUUAAAAACACAGCACUCUGCAAACACGAAAGUGGACGUAUAGGGUGUGACGCCUGCCCGGUGCCGGAAGGUUAAUUGAUGGGGUUAGCGCAAGCGAAGCUCUUGAUCGAAGCCCCGGUAAACGGCGGCCGUAACUAUAACGGUCCUAAGGUAGCGAAAUUCCUUGUCGGGUAAGUUCCGACCUGCACGAAUGGCGUAACGAUGGCGGCGCUGUCUCCACCCGAGACUCAGUGAAAUUGAAAUCGCUGUGAAGAUGCAGUGUAUCCGCGGCUAGACGGAAAGACCCCGUGAACCUUUACUGUAGCUUUGCACUGGACUUUGAGCCUGCUUGUGUAGGAUAGGUGGGAGGCUUUGAAGCGUGGACGCCAGUUCGCGUGGAGCCAUCCUUGAAAUACCACCCUGGCAUGCUUGAGGUUCUAACUCUGGUCCGUGAUCCGGAUCGAGGACAGUGUAUGGUGGGCAGUUUGACUGGGGCGGUCUCCUCCUAAAGAGUAACGGAGGAGUACGAAGGUGCGCUCAGACCGGUCGGAAAUCGGUCGCAGAGUAUAAAGGCAAAAGCGCGCUUGACUGCGAGACAGACACGUCGAGCAGGUACGAAAGUAGGUCUUAGUGAUCCGGUGGUUCUGUAUGGAAGGGCCAUCGCUCAACGGAUAAAAGGUACUCCGGGGAUAACAGGCUGAUACCGCCCAAGAGUUCAUAUCGACGGCGGUGUUUGGCACCUCGAUGUCGGCUCAUCACAUCCUGGGGCUGAAGCCGGUCCCAAGGGUAUGGCUGUUCGCCAUUUAAAGUGGUACGCGAGCUGGGUUUAGAACGUCGUGAGACAGUUCGGUCCCUAUCUGCCGUGGACGUUUGAGAUUUGAGAGGGGCUGCUCCUAGUACGAGAGGACCGGAGUGGACGAACCUCUGGUGUUCCGGUUGUCACGCCAGUGGCAUUGCCGGGUAGCUAUGUUCGGAAAAGAUAACCGCUGAAAGCAUCUAAGCGGGAAACUUGCCUCAAGAUGAGAUCUCACUGGGAACUUGAUUCCCCUGAAGGGCCGUCGAAGACUACGACGUUGAUAGGCUGGGUGUGUAAGCGUUGUGAGGCGUUGAGCUAACCAGUACUAAUUGCCCGUGAGGCUUGACCAUAUAACACCCAAACA